GAGUUUGAUCGUGGCUCAGGAUGAACGCUGGCGGCGUGCUUAACACAUGCAAGUCGAACGGAAUGGCCCUUGCUUGCAAGGGUGCUCGAGUGGCGAACGGGUGAGUAACACGUAGGUGAUCUGCCUUUCACUUCGGGAUAAGCUUGGGAAACUGGGUCUAAUACCGGAUAUUCACGGCACCGUGGUUGGUGUGGUGGAAAGCUUUUGCGGUGGGAGAUGAGCUUGCGGCCUAUCAGCUUGUUGGUGGGGUAAUGGCCUACCAAGGCGGCGACGGGUAGCCGGCCUGAGAGGGUGUGCGGCCACAUUGGGACUGAGAUACGGCCCAGACUCCUACGGGAGGCAGCAGUGGGGAAUUUUGCACAAUGGGCGGAAGCCUGAUGCAGCGACGCCGUGU
rnacentral:rRNA from 1 species